CCAGUCUGCACACUCCAUGAAGGCAAAAAUGGGAUGACUCUAUUCAUUUAUUUUCUGCCUCCCCACUAGAAUAUAAGCUUCUUAAAGAUAGGGGCUAUGGUCAUUAUUCUUGGCAUCUCCAGCUCCAGUGGCAGUAAUAAGACAACGAGUGCCAGAUGGACCAGUACUCCAUGAUUUUGUGUGUGAGUGGGAGGUGGGGAGAGGUGCAGGCUUCAAAGACAAGUAGAAUUUGGAGUGAAAAUGUUGCUAAGAAAAAUCUGACAAUGGUCAUAUGACAAUAUGUCAUUUCCUCACUUUGCUCCAUCUUUGCAGGUAGUUCCCACUCUUCCUAAGAGUGAUGACUUUUCACUUAUAAUAAUAUUAUUAAUAAUGAUGAGGGUUUAAACUGGUGUUUAUUAUCUAUUUACCAAAUAUGAGGUGUCAAAUAUUAUCCUAAGCAUUUACACUAGUAAUUUUAUAACUUCUGUGUGUGCUCCCAGGAGGCCAGAACAGUAUCUGAGUCUGAUUUGCAAAUGUAGAAUAGGAGAUUUCCUUGACCCAAAUGUUGGAUGAAUCUUAAGUCAGAGGCAGAUUCAAGUCAUUAAAUGCAUCUACUUUCUUCAAGCCCACAUAGAACCAAUUGGGUUCCAUUCAUCAAGCAAGGCAGGCAUGUGAGAUGUGGAACAGCAAGUAGACUUCAUGCUUCACUGCAACUCCAAUCAUUUGGAAGCAAAUAUCUAGACAUUUUGUAAGAAUUGUUCAUCUAAGCUCAGCAGGAACAAGUGCCUCUAUUGGUUAGCAAUGUUUACCACAUACAUGGAUGAGGAGUAGCAGAGGUCACUCAAGGUACUCAUCAAACCCAGCCCUUCUGCAGAGAAAACGAGUUCUCCUUCUUAAUAAUGCUCGUGGAAAGAGCAAAGUUCAAACCCCAUCAGUGCCUCAGAGAGACUAUAACAUCAAGACAGUCUUUCUCCUUUCUAGAAUUCCUGGCCAGAACUACGGCCACAAGAGCUGGUGUGAGAGAAAGAUGAUGAAAAGAAGCUGUCAAGCCAUGGUCUAAGAGGAGUCACAGACAUGGUUAUCAUCAGCUACUUUCAUUCUAAGAGAAGGAUACCUGGGCCAUGAGAGUAUCUUACCUCAUGGCCAAGGGUGGAAGAUUAAGGAGGAGAGGAGGUUGUCCACUAAACUCAAGUAAGUAAGAUCCUGUUCUUUUUUAAGACCUUAGUAUUAAGGGCUAAAUUCUACCAGCCCCUGGUAAGGAUAGACUAGGAAGUAGUGAGACAGGCUAGUAGCCCACAUCUUAGAUCCUUUAGCUGACACAGGGGAUAUAUGACAUUCCUCCCAAAGGAAUACAAGCUAUACUAUGAGCAGAGAAGACCCCAGAAUAAGUCAUGCAGCCUGUGAAAGACUCUGAUUGCUCAAAUAAGUUGACUCUCACUCCAGUCCGAAGCAAGGAGGCACAGCACAGCUUUCACCUGCACAAAAUGGAGUUUUGCUCAGGCAGCAUCCUUGGGAGCCUUAUCUCAGUGUCUCCCUGGAACAAACAAGACGAGGAACCUCCCCAGCUUGUACCAGGGUCUCACUAUAAGGGCACCUGCCUGUGCCUCCCCAGCUCUGUUUCUUACAUUCUACUUUGUAGUCUCAGCUAGUUUUCUCUACCUAUCUCUUUAGGCAUCUCUCUAAUCUAUCUCUUUAAGUCUAGGUACUAGUGGGCACUCAGGAAAUCUUUGUUGAAUGAAUGUUCACAUCAUUAGUCUAGUAAUCAUGGCUAGCUAAAAAUUUUGCCAGGCCAGGUGCAAAAUGAAAAUUUGGAAUCUCUCCUUCAAAAGACAGGAAAAAGAGGGCUGUUAAAGGCACUAAGAUCCAAAGGGUUUUUUUUUUUCCUUCCAUGUCUUCUCUCUUAACUCAUCAUAGUGUUUUUUAAUUUGCUGUUUAAUUUGUUGUAGGUAAAGAAAAAAUAAAAAUUUAAAUUAUUAGCAUUAAUUUUGCUAUUUAUCUUUAUAUCAUGCAAUGACAAUUUGAAAUGCAAAUAUAAGAACAUUUUGCUCAUAUGAGGAGUCACUGAAAAUAUAAUUUGUAUUUCGUAAGUCACGUAUUUGUAUUUUGUUUUUACCAGAACAGUUGAAAUGCUGCACAAAACUAACUCAACAGUUUUUAUGUCACUCCUUGUUACAGUUCUACCAAUACUUUCUCCCUUCUACUUACUGACGAUUAAUGAUGAGUAAAGAAAAAGAAGGAUGCGUUGUCCUUUCUUUCCCAUUCCUUCUAUGUCAUCAUUUUCAGCAUAAUACAGGGAAGUAUGUAAGAAAAGACAUGAUGGGAUUCCUUGGUCUUUUAUGUUUAUUUGAACACCAUUGCCUGUCCCUAAGAAUCAUAGUGAGGACCCUGUGUGCAUUUUCUCUAUGCUAUAUAUGUGCACAAUGCAUUAGCAAUUGGAUCAGCCCUGAAACUGACAUCAAAGUCUAGGUCAACUGAACUGUUUUCACAUAGCCCACAGAAAUACCUUCAUUUUCUUACCUUAUGAGAUUGUGGCUUAUAAGGUAAGCCACAUAUAUAUUGUGGCUAGAAAUAAAGUGAAGAAAGACAAUGAGGGAAAUACAUAACGGGAUUUCUGAGGCCAGUUUUUAUUCAUCUAUUUCUAGUCCCAAGGGUUUAAAGCAGAUUAAAAACAAACAAAGAUCCUGACCAUUGUGGCUCUGUGGGGUCCACAGGGUUUAUUUCCCUUACCACCAAGAUAAUUCAAUUCAACAAAUAUUAUUUAGUUUUACCAUACGCUUGCCAUGACAAUCCCAAGACCAUCUACGGAGGCAGGGCAGAAACUGAAAGCUGCCUGGAGAUCAAGCUUUUCUUCCUGGGAAACACACAGAUAUUUAGUAAAAUGGAAUAAAGGACUUCUGAAAGAGAAAAAAAAUGGAUUCUGUACAGGAAACUAGAGAGAUUCUGUACAGGAAACUAUGUCCCCAUCUUCAGUGUGUACAAAAUUACACACUUCCUCACCCUGAAACUGGUUUUGUUCAUGCCCCGUUCAAGAUACAUUACAGCAAGAAAGGGAAACUGGGGCAGAUUAAGAGAGCCUUGGCUUUCUGUCCCUUGCACUCAUUGAAGUUAGGGGUGUUACACCAUGAAGAGCUAGCAAGAGAUUCUAGAAAGAUUUCUGUGAUUUUGCCUCAGGAGCAGGUGCUGAGAUGAAGUGGCUCUGCCAAUCUAAGUGCAAAAAAAAAAAGAUGUUUUCAGAUUAAUGAUUAACCUAAUCUUGCUGUUUCUGUGUUCUAAGAGUGAAGAAAAAAUUCAAAAAGUGGUUUAUUCAUCCAUUUAUUCCAGACAUAUUUUAUGAACACCUACUUUAUAUGUCAGGUACUGAACUGGGUGUUGCAAAAACACAAAACAAUAAAACCAAUAAGACAUUGGUUUUGCCCAGAGGGUACUCUAAGUCUAGUGGGAGAGACAUUCACAUAAAAAGCAAAUUAAAUGCAAUGUGACAAAUACAGAGAGCUAAGUAUGGCUGCCAUGGGACAUCUUAAGGGCUGGCAACAAACCCAGUGCCCAGGCAUUUAGUGGCUCUGCUAUGGAAUGAAUGUGCUUUCCCUAAAUUCAUAUGCUCAAAUCUUAAUCCCCAAUGUGAUGGGAUUAGGAGGUGAAGCCUUUGGUAUGUGCUUAGAUCAUAAGGGCAGAACCCUCAUUAAUGGGAUUAGUGCCCUUAUUAAGAAACCCUAAGUAGCUCUCUCACCCUUUCUACCCAGCAAGGAGAUGGCCACCUAGGAACAAGGAAGCAAGAUCUCACUAGACAACAAAUCUGCCAGUGCUUUGAUCCAGGACUUUCAGUCUCCAGAACUGAGCUAGCAGACAGGAAAACAAAUUUGUCUUAAAUACCCCAAGUUUAUAGGCUUCUCACCCCUCGGCAGCUGCAACUGGCAAAUCUAGUUUACAGAAAUGGGAGAUGAGGGAGAUGUGCACGUUUUUCACUGUCGGAACUUGAGAGGCAGUGAUGGAAUACUUACGAAGUAGCAGCUCUCGGCAGGUAUUUGGGUUAUUAAUGUGCAUGGUUGGAAGGCUGUAGCUUUCUAAUUUGAAAGAGGUCUACUAACAGUAAUACUGGACUCCAGGAAUAAGGGGGGAAACCUGGGCAUCUGCAUUGUACUGAAUGUUUACAAACUUUCAGUUUCUUCUAAUUUAUAGGAUCAGUUUUCUACGUUUCUUUAGCACUUUCCCUUACAUUUGUAUAGUAGAGGGGAAUGUUGCACAUAAAACAAUCAUAGGGUCAGGGGGUCUUCAUGGCAAAGCCUUUAGGUAUCAGCUACCCAUGCAAUUUUUCUCACCUGUCCAAGUUCUUUCUUGGCUUUCUGGAUCUCUGCCUUAUGCAUUCUCUCUGUU
rnacentral:lncRNA from 1 species